AUGCUCACCAGGGCUUGGUCUUCUCCGUGUGGUCCUGACCUGCCCUCCAUGAGCAAGAGAGACUGAACUGGUUUUGGGGGUACCCUGUCUGAGUGGACAUGGGAGACCACGGUUUUCAGUACAACA
rnacentral:snoRNA from 10 species